rnacentral:rRNA from 1 species
CUUAGUGGCGGACGGGUGAGUAACGCGUGGGUAACCUACCCUGUACAGGGGGAGUAACAGUCAGAAAUGACUGCUAAUACCGCAUAAGACCACAGCACCGCAUGGUGCAGGGGUAAAAACUCCGGUGGUACAGGAUGGACCCGCGUCUGAUUAGCUGGUUGGCAGGGUAACGGCCUACCAAGGCAACGAUCAGUAGCCGGUCUGAGAGGAUGAACGGCCACAUUGGAACUGAGACACGGUCCAAACUCCUACGGGAGGCAGCAUG